CAGUAGCCGCGGUAAUACGAAGGGGGCUAGCGUUGCUCGGAAUCACUGGGCGUAAAGGGUGCGUAGGCGGGUCUUUAAGUCAGGGGUGAAAUCCUGGAGCUCAACUCCAGAACUGCCUUUGGUACUGAAGAUCUUGAGUUCGGGAGAGGUGAGUGGAACUGCGAGUGUAGAGGUGAAAUUCGUAGAUAUUCGCAAGAACACCAGUGGCGAAGGCGGCUCACUGGCCCGAUACUGACGCUGAGGCACGAAAGCGUGGGGAGCAAACAGGAUUAGAUACCCCCGUAGUCCCUGUCUCUUAUAA
rnacentral:rRNA from 1 species